UUGCAAAGCCUGCCUGUGCUCUUCAUUGGAAUGUAAUUUUUAAUCUCCCUAAGCCUCAUUUUCUUCUUCUGUAAAAUAGGGAUAAUUACAGAACCUGUCUCUUAGGGUUCUUGGGAAAUUCAAUGAGAUAAUCAAUCUGAAGUGCCUGAUAUACAGCAAGAGCUCAGUAAGUGCUGAUGUCUUUAUGCCACAGCUAGUAAACGGUUGAGAUAAGAUCCAGACCGACCUGUCUGUGUGUUCAUUUUUCUAGCGUACGGCCUCUGUGUGGCUGGGUACAAGCAGGCCUGCCUCGGCCAGAGGCCUGGUAUAUUCUGACCUGCUCACUACAAGGAAGGCUGUAGUCCCCAAGGAACUAGAUCUGCCUUGUCUUAUGGGAG
rnacentral:lncRNA from 1 species